rnacentral:rRNA from 1 species
AGAGUUUGAUCCUGGCUCAGAUUGAACGCUGGCGGCAUGCCUUACACAUGCAAGUCGAACGGCAGCACGGGUGCUUGCACCUGGUGGCGAGUGGCGAACGGGUGAGUAAUAUAUCGGAACGUACCUUAUCGUGGGGGAUAACGCAGCGAAAGCUGCGCUAAUACCGCAUACGCCCUGAGGGGGAAAGCGGGGGACCGUAAGGCCUCGCGCGAUUAGAGCGGCCGAUAUCUGAUUAGCUUGUUGGUGGGGUAAAAGCCCACCAAGGCGACGAUCAGUAGCUGGUCUGAGAGGACGAUCAGCCACACUGGGACUGAGACACGGCCCAGACUCCUACGGGAGGCAGCAGUGGGGAAUUUUGGACAAUGGGGGCAACCCUGAUCCAGCAAUGCCGCGUGAGUGAAGAAGGCCUUCGGGUUGUAAAGCUCUUUUGUCAGGGAAGAAACAGCAGCUCUAACACAGUCUGCGAAUGACGGUACCUGAAGAAUAAGCACCGGCUAACUACGUGCCAGCAGCCGCGGUAAUACGUAGGGUGCAAGCGUUAAUCGGAAUUACUGGGCGUAAAGCGUGCGCAGGCGGUUAUACAAGACAGGCGUGAAAUCCCCGGGCUUAACCUGGGAAUGGCGUCUGUGACUGUAUGACUAGAGUGUGUCAGAGGGGGGUAGAAUUCCACGUGUAGCAGUGAAAUGCGUAGAUAUGUGGAGGAAUACCAAUGGCGAAGGCAGCCCCCUGGGAUAACACUGACGCUCAUGCACGAAAGCGUGGGGAGCAAACAGGAUUAGAUACCCUGGUAGUCCACGCCCUAAGCGAUGCCGACUAGUUGUUGGGAAUUUACAUUCUCAGUAACGUAGCUAACGCGUGAAGUCGGCCGCCUGGGGAGUACGGUCGCAAGAUUAAAACUCAAAGGAAUUGACGGGGACCCGCACAAGCGGUGGAUGAUGUGGAUUAAUUCGAUGCAACGCGAAAAACCUUACCUACCCUUGACAUG